rnacentral:tRNA from 1 species
CAACACGUAGCUUAACUAAAGCAUCUCGCUUACACCGAGAAAUUAUCUGUGAAACCCAGAUCAUGUUGA